rnacentral:rRNA from 1 species
GUCUAAAACGACUCUCGACAACGGAUAUCUCGGCUCUUGCAUCGAUGAAGAACGUAGCGAAAUGCGAUACUUGGUGUGAAUUGCAGAAUCCCGUGAACCAUCGAGUUUUUGAACGCAAGUUGCGCCCGAAGCCAUUAGGUUGAGGGCACSCCUGCCUGGGUGUCACUAA